CUACGGGGCGCAGCAGUCGAGAAUCUUUCGCAAUGGGGGAAACCCUGACGACGCGACGCCGCGUGGAGGAUGAAGGCCUUCGGGUUGUAAACUCCUGUCAGCAGGGGAGAACAAGUUGUCGAUGAAUAAUUGACGACUUUGACAGUACCUGCAGAGGAAGCCACGGCUAACUCUGUGCCAGCAGCCGCGGUAAUACAGAGGUGGCAAGCGUUGUUCGGGUUUAUUGGGCGUAAAGGGUCCGUAGGCGGCCUGAAAAGUCGGAUGUGAAAUCCCACAGCUUAACUGUGGAACUGCAUUCGAAACUUUCGGGCUCGAGUGUGAUAGGGGUAAAGGGAAUUCCCGGUGUAAGGGUGAAAUCUGCAGAGAUCGGGAGGAACACCAGUCGCGAAGGCGCUUUACUGGAUUACUACUGACGCUGAGGGACGAAAGCCAGGGGAGCAAACGGGAUUAGAUACCCCGGUAGUC
rnacentral:rRNA from 1 species